UUUACCAAACUUCUCUUUGGCCAGCUUCUAUAGUAUGACUGCCGAGUUUCGUGUCCACAAGAAAUUGCACCACUGUGAUGUAGCAAAGUAUGAGCCUCUGAGGGGAAAGCUGUUCAAGGUUUAAGGCCUUGGACAUUGAUGACUGUUCUCUCCUGGUUUACUAGGAGUGGAGGAGGCUCACACAGGCUGAGCAGU